rnacentral:rRNA from 1 species
AGCGAACGCUGGCGGCAGGCCUAACACAUGCAAGUCGAACGAACUCUUCGGAGUUAGUGGCGGACGGGUGAGUAACACGUGGGAACGUGCCUUUAGGUUCGGAAUAACCCAGGGAAACUUGUGCUAAUACCGAAUGUGCCCUUCGGGGGAAAGAUUUAUCGCCUUUAGAGCGGCCCGCGUCUGAUUAGCUAGUUGGUGAGGUAAAGGCUCACCAAGGCGACGAUCAGUAGCUGGUCUGAGAGGAUGAUCAGCCACAUUGGGACUGAGACACGGCCCAAACUCCUACGGGAGGCAGCAGUGGGGAAUCUUGCGCAAUGGGCGAAAGCCUGACGCAGCCAUGCCGCGUGAAUGAUGAAGGUCUUAGGAUUGUAAAAUUCUUUCACCGGGGACGAUAAUGACGGUACCCGGAGAAGAAGCCCCGGCUAACUUCGUG